UACGUAGGGUGCGAGCGUUGUCCGGAAUUAUUGGGCGUAAAGGGGCUCGUAGGCGGUUUGUCGCGUCGGGGAGUGAAAACCAUGGGCUUAACUCAUGGCUUGCUUCCGAUACGGGCAGACUAGAGGUAUGCAGGGGGAGAACGGAAUUCCUGGUGUAGCGGUGAAAUGCGCAGAUAUCAGGAGGAACACCGGUGGCGAAGGCGGGUCUCUGGGCAGUAACUGACGCUGAGGAACGAAAGCGUGGGUAGCAAACAGG
rnacentral:rRNA from 1 species